GGAACAUUACGGGGACUGUUCCCUUCGUUGUAGAGUCAGUUAGUGUGUGCGGUGAGUAGAGCACUGUAGAUAAGGUUUUACUGUCAGGUCGUCACUGUUGGAAAUGAACGAAAAAUUAUUGUUUGAAGUUGUGGAGAGAGGUGAUAUUCAGUUAGUAACGCGUUUUUUGGAUGUCGGAGUUGAUAUCAAUGGAUGCUAUUGUGGGGACACGCUUCUGAUAAAAGCGUGUAAGAAUAAUCAGAAGGAAAUGGUUGAGUUUCUACUCACUAAAUCAGCAGAUGUUAAUGGGACUGGCAUUGGUGGAUGGACAUGUUUGAUGAAGGCAGCAAGGUAUGGAUUUCAUGAUAUCGUGGAUAUACUUUUGAAGACCAAAGAUAUUAAUGUGAUGAAGAAAGAACGUUGUGGGGGAUGGACAGCCAUCCAUCUUGCUGCAAUGAAUAAUCACGUGACCAUAGUCGAGAGACUUUUGUCUUGUUCUGUUCCUGUUGAUAUCAAUGACAACGAGGGUUGUACACCACUGUGGUGGGCUGCCUUUUAUGGUCAUUUGUGUUAUGUUGAUGUUCUCCUGAAACAUGGAGCGAGUCCCCAACAUGAGAGUAAGAGUGGAAUAUCACCACUGGAGGUUGCCAAGCUACGUGGUCACAGUGAUGUGGUUAAGAUGAUGGAAGAAGCCAUAAGAUUGAGAUCUCAUCCCUAUAUGAUGGGUCAUGUGUCUGUUAUGAGACAUCAAUAUGGACAGAGAAUAAUGUGACAUUUUCAUCUCUAGUGGACUGUUUCCCAAGUUGUGCUUGUGUUGCAUAGAUUAGAGAACUGGAGAGUGAAGUUGAACAGAAAGACGAGGAAAUCUCGUGUCUCAGAAUGUCAGGAGACGAUACAGUAUGACAAGCACACGUAUACAUUGUUCAUACGUACGGUGGGUGCAGGUCUUGAUGAGACUUUGUUGUCGUCACAGCCAGCGAGAGACGUCAUGCAUGCUGUUGUUUCUCUGGCUGGUGAUCAGUGGAGUUGUGUUGGACUUGAGUUGGGAUACGAAUUGUCUGAACUCGAAGCAAUGACAUCGACAAUUCCUCUACCUUCAGGCAAACUGAAUGCAAUACUGAGAAGAAAGGCUAAUGCUGUUGGUACCAGCAAAGUUGUUGGUAUCAUUUUGUCUGCUUGCAAGCAGGUUUCCAUGCCAAUUUGUGCUGCGGCAAUAAGAGAUGAGGUGGUUAGACGUCAAGAGAGACUGAGAACACACAAUGGUGGACAAUAGAAUAAUUGACUUUGUCAAUUUGUUGUUUGUAUGGCUGAUCAUAUAGUUUAUUGUUGAUGUGAGCAAGUGAUGUGUACAUUUUAGAAGAAACACAUCUUUCUUGUUUGUACUGCUACAAGCGUUCUUGUUUUGUUUUUACAUUUAUGGUUAUGUGUUAAUAGAAUAGUUUCAU